AUCCUCUUCUAAGAUUUGGAAGUCUGAAUAAUCUACUUUACUCUUCACUUUGGCUUUAAGUUGCUCCAUAAAACUUUCUACGCACUCAUCAUCAACCUGCAGUUUAAGUCAUGGAGAUGCACAUCAAUUCUAAAGUCUAAACCCACCAAGAAGAAGCAUGAAAAGAGAUUUGAACAAAACCUUUCCAUGUUUUGAAGCAGAAGAUAUAUUUGCGUCUCCUUCUUCCAUUAUUAUUGUAUUCUUUGUGUUCGACUUGGCUGCCUUCAUCUGUUUUUUGGGUUGUUCUGUCACUGUAAGCUUUUCAUAUUCUUCUCUCAUUCUUCCUCUCUGUUUUGCUUCCAAUUUUGCUUUCUUUUCUUUAUGAUUUAGAUUUUCUUAAGAAAAAUAAAGAGAUAAAGGAAAUCGGAGGAAGAGGAGUUGAAAGAUAAAGGAAACGAAGAGGGGGAGUAAGGUUGUUCGCUGAAAUAAAGAGAUAAAAAAAAGGUUGAAGAAGUUUCGAAAAGUGAGAUGAUUCCCCUCCCAAAUUCAUCUGUUAACCCAAGCAUUACGGACUUUAGGAAAGAGAACAGGUACAAGAAGCUCCUAAGCUCAGUGGAUCUUACAAAGGACUUCUUUUUCAGCUAUUCAUACAAUGUUAUGUGUAGUCUUCAAAAGAACUUGUAUAAUAAUGAACCAGGUGAGGUUCUUCCAGCUUAUUUUAAGUGAGUAAUGCAUUUAAUAUUUCUAGUUAAAUGAUAGGUUGAGUUCAAUUUCUUUAUCUGGCAUUUAUUUUCCCCAAU